UGUAAAUUGGCCCUUCCUACGAUCCACUCAGCAAUUGGAGAUUGUUUUGUGGUUCCCAGAUGUUGGAUCUAUACUAGUCUUCUUGAUUCAUUUUUCCAAUUGUUGCUUGCUUUUUGAUUGACAUCUAUAUUUUAAGUUGGGAGAUAUACUCUAACUCUUUCUGGAGGAGGAGGUUAAAACAAGGUAAGGCUUGGACUCGGGUCCCAUCU